rnacentral:rRNA from 1 species
GGCUGAAAUUCGCCUUCCAUGAAGCUGGAAUUGCUAGUAAUGGCAGGUCAGCAUACUGCCGUGAAUACGUUCCCGGGCCUUGUACACACCGCCCGUCACACCAUGAGAGUUGGGAAUACCCGAAGCCUGUGAGCCAACUUUUAAAGAGGCAACAGUCGAAGGUAGAAUCAAUGAUUGGGGUGAAGUCGUAACAAGGUAAC